rnacentral:rRNA from 1 species
GAUCCUGGCUCAGAUUGAACGCUGGCGGCAUGCCUUACACAUGCAAGUCGAACGGCAGCGGGCCCUUCGGGUGCCGGCGAGUGGCGAACGGGUGAGUAAUGCAUCGGAACGUGCCCAGAGGUGGGGGAUAACGCAGCGAAAGCUGUGCUAAUACCGCAUGUGAUCUGAGGAUGAAAGCGGGGGAUCAAGCAGCAAUGUUUGGCCUCGCGCCUCUGGAGCGGCCGA